rnacentral:lncRNA from 1 species
CUGGCAUGUCUGUCAUUGUGUCCGUUGACUUGACUGUAAAUCAAAUGAGAUUCAAAAUACAUCCUGAGAGCUUUCAUGUGCCUUGUGCCAUUUUCAAUCAUAAAUUGCUGUGAGGAAACAAGUGACAACCUUGACCUCAGUCAAGCUUACAGUUUGGCUGGGGCACAGACAUGAACAACUAAACACAGGAAAUGUGUAGGGUGCUAAUAGAAUGAACAAAGCUGGAAGUGAGGAGCAUUCCCUAAGGAACUGAUCUUUGAGUUGA